rnacentral:rRNA from 1 species
GACGAACGCUGGCGGCGUGCCUAAUACAUGCAAGUCGAGCGGACGAAUCGAAAGCUUGCUUUUGAUUCGUUAGCGGCGGACGGGUGAGUAACACGUGGGCAACCUGCCCUGUAGACGGGGAUAACACCGAGAAAUCGGUGCUAAUACCGGAUAACACGAAAUGUCGCAUGACGUUUCGUUGAAAGACGGCGCAGGCUGUCGCUACAGGAUGGGCCCGCGGCGCAUUAGCUAGUUGGUGAGGUAACGGCUCACCAAGGCGACGAUGCGUAGCCGACCUGAGAGGGUGAUCGGCCACACUGGGACUGAGACACGGCCCAGACUCCUACGGGAGGCAGCAGUAGGGAAUCUUCCGCAAUGGACGAAAGUCUGACGGAGCAACGCCGCGUGAGCGAAGAAGGCCUUCGGGUCGUAAAGCUCUGUUGUUAGGGAAGAACAAGUAACGCAGUAACUGGCGUUACCGUGACGGUACCUAACGAGAAAGCCACGGCUAACUACGUG